GGGGAGAGUGAAGCUAAUGUGCCAGUCGUGAGCGCGAUUCUGUCGCGCCGCGUACUUGAGGAGCCGCACGCGGCGAAGAAGCGGCGUAACGGAGGGCUGAAAGAAGCGCGACGGAAGAGGGAGCCUUUCCCCCCUUUGAAAAAGAAGACCGGGACUCCUCUAUCUCGCCCGUGGGGAUCGAGGGGCGCGUUCAGUCCGUCCACGUUCGCUGUCGGGAACGCGACCGGAAGACAAAUCUUCCCCGCGAGAGAGACCGCUUCUUUUUCUUCUUCUUCUUCUUCUUCCUAUUCCAGAAGGCAGGAACUGAACGGAGAAACUCCCUUUUCGUCGAACUGUAAGAGGCAAAGUCGUCUUCCGCGGUUCUAUGAAUUUUCCCCCAAGUUCUCAAUCAGUCGUCACGCGCGACUUCGAUUGUUGUGAACAUUGCGAAUUUUUGCGAAACAAUUUCGAGUGAGUGGUUUCGGAGCAAGUUAAUACUUUCAAGAGGACGAGAUUACCGGCAAUUAGAAGAUCGCCGUAGAAAGUCCUCUCUUUGGGAAAAGAGUUCAAGGAACGAGGCACACGAAAAAAAAAAAAAUAAUAAUAAUGUUUCGCGGAAAAGAACGGUCGACAUCGAUUGGUGGAUGAUUAACGGCUGAACGAGAGGUCAUACAACCGCGGGACUCGCCGGCGCGAAAAGGGAAAA
rnacentral:lncRNA from 13 species